CCAGGUACUUCAUUAUUUCCUCUACUGCUGAACUUUAGACCUGCACUACACCAAUUGUUUGUAUUGCAAUAUAAGGGAACAUGCUGGUGCUCAUCUUGCAAGCAUCCAUAGCAGCUGGUACCCUAGCCGAGAACUUGGUGAAGGCCUUGGUGACGG